UUGGAACAUCUUCUUACUUUUGUUUUUGUUAUUUGGUUUUGGGAAAUUUCCUUUUAUUUAGUAUUUAAAAAGAAUUUUUAUUUUUAGUAAUAGCAUACUAGUACCGUGAGGGAAUUGUUGAAAUAUUUGAAAUAUUUAUUUUAUUUUAAGUAUAUUUUGUUGGUAUUACCUUUUGUAUCAGGGUUGAUUAAAUUUGUUUAAUUUAUUUUUAUUUCUCGAUUUCAUAAGAGCUGACUGUUAAUUUUGGUUAGUGUUGCAUCAUUAUCAAUAAUUUUUGUCUGUAGAGAUAUUCUAUUCGUUUGUGAGGGUAUCUAGUUUUUUAAGAAUUAAAUUUAAUUUACUUUUGGUCUUUAUUUUCUUUAUUUUUAAGAAUUUAUGUUCCAGAUGUAAUUUAAUAGGGGAUAAGCUCUGUUAUUUUCUAUAAUUUUUGUUUUCUGUAAUUUUUGUAGGAUUAGAAUCGUCCAUCUUUUAUUACGUUGUAGUAUCUGUUACUUUUAUUUGAUUUUCUUUUAUUUAGAUAAUUAUUGAAAUACUUAAUUUAAUGUUUUAUUUGAGGUAAAAAUGAUUAAAUUAGUAUAAUUUUUUGUUUAGUUGUUUUUCUUAUUAUUGUUGUUUUUAAGGAAUUCGGCAAAUUUAUAUACUCACCUGUUUAUCAAAAACAUGGCCUCCUGUUUGUUUAGGAGGUCUGACCUGCCCAGUGAUUUUAUUUAACGGCCGCGGUAUUCUGACCGUGCAAAGGUAGCAUAAUCAUUAGUCUUUUAAUAGGGGGCUGGAAUGAAAGGUUUGAUGAAGUAUAGGCUGUCUCAAUAAUAUAUUUAAAAUUUAACUUUCAAGUUAAAAGGCUUGAAUUUUGUAGAUAGACGAGAAGACCCUAUAGAGCUUUAUAAUUUAUUGGUUGGAGUUUUUUAGAUUGACAUGUUUACUUCAUUUUUUAAUUUAUUUUGUUGGGGUGAUGAAAAUAUAAGAUUAACUUUUUUAUUUAUUGUACAUUGAUAUAUGAUUUUUAGAUCCAUUAUUAGUGAUUAUUAGAUGAAGUUACCUUAGGGAUAACAGCGUAAUCUUCUUUUGGAGUUCAAAUUUGCAAGAAGGCUUGCGACCUCGAUGUUGGAUUAAGAUUAUAAUUGGGUGUAGUAGCUUGAUUAAUAGGUCUGUUCGACCUUUAAAUUCUUACAUGAUCUGAGUUCAGACCGGUUUAAGCCAGGUCGGUUUCUAUCUUCUAUUCAUCAGUAGUUUUUAGUACGAAAGGACCAUUAUUACGGAAUAAUUUCUUGAUUUGAUUAUUAUUA
rnacentral:rRNA from 1 species